CGAGGUGCCUUCCGAGUUCCCUGGAACGGGACGCCAUAGAGGGUGAGAGCCCCGUCUGGUUGGAUACCGAGCCUCUGUAAAGCUCCUUCGACGAGUCGAGUAGUUUGGGAAUGCUGCUCUAAAUGGGAGGUAUAUGUCUUCUAAAGCUAAAUACCGGCCAGAGACCGAUAGCGCACAAGUAGAGUGAUCGAAAGAUGAAAAGCACUUUGAAAAGAGGGUUAAAUAGUACGUGAAAUUGUUGAAAGGGAAGCGCUUAUGACCAGACUUGGACCCGGUGAAUCAUCCAGCGUUCUCGCUGGUGCACUUUGCCGGGCUCAGGCCAGCAUCAGUUUGUCUCGGGGGAUAAAGGCUUAGGGAAUGUGGCUCCUCCGGGAGUGUUAUAGCCCUUUGCACAAUACCCUGGGGCGGACUGAGGUUCGCGCAUCUGCAAGGAUGCUGGCGUAAUGGUCAUCAGCGACCCGUCUUGAAACACGGACCAAGGAGUCGUCUUCGUAUGCGAGUGUUCGGGUGUAAAACCCCUACGCGUAAUGAAAGUGAACGCAGGUGAGAGCUUCGGCGCAUCAUCGACCGAUCCUGAUGUUCUCGGAUGGAUUUGAGUAAGAGCAUACGGGGCCGGACCCGAAAGAAGGUGAACUAUGCCUGUAUAGGGUGAAGCCAGAGGAAACUCUGGUGGAGGCUCGCAGCGGUUCUGACGUGCAAAUCGAUCGUCAAAYAUGGGCAUGGGGGCGAAAGACUAAU
rnacentral:rRNA from 1 species